CGAGAUAUAUAAGAAUCAUAAUACUUGCUGUUUCUAAAAAGCUUGCGUCACGACCAGGAUAUGCCAACAAAAUUUGGAGAAAUUUCUCUUCUAGGGAUUACUAGUUGGCACGUAGGCUAGUAUUAUGCCAAGUGGCAGAGACUAGAGUACGUUAAAUCACAAUCGAGAUACCGUAGAUAUUGUGUCUAUAUAUUUUUAGUGAAUUAAUUAUUUCUUUAUGAUAACUAGAGAGUUUGAAAUUAUAAUUACCGUCCUAUCCAAUGACAUUAGGACAUGUCACGUGUUUGAUUCCCGCAUACUACAAUUGUUUAGGUGUUGGAAGAGACGGAAUGGAUCAGUGGCAAAUAGCCCAGUCCCAGCUUACGUAGCGGGGCGACCACCAACGAUCGACUAGCACCAACAACUAGCUUCAAUGGCCGGUAGAUGUUUAAUCGCCUUGGGUUUGAGUGCAAAAUCCAACGCUUUGGGAAUCAUGAGAAUUGUAGGGUUAGGGUGGGUUUAGGGUUGGCAAUCUAGCUCACCGUUCGUCAGCCAGCUUGUGUUCUGUUCGAAAUGGAUUCGAGAUCGAAUCGCUCGUUUAGUAAACGAGCCGAACACGAGCUGGAGUCAGCUUGCUCGCGUUCGGCUCGAUAACAGCUCAAAUACAUAUAUUUUAUAUUUAUAUAAUUUAUUUAAUUUAUAUUUAUAUAUAUAAUAAAUAAUUAUAUAUAUAAUAUAUAUUUUUUUAUUAUUUGAUUUUUAGCAAAAUAAAAAUAUAAGUCGAGCUCAAUUAUAAAAAGACUCAUUUAUAUGUA
rnacentral:lncRNA from 1 species